AUUGAACGCUGGCGGCAGGCCUAACACAUGCAAGUCGAACGAGUGGCGGACGGGUGAGUAAUGUCUGGUAAACUGCCUGAUGGAGGGGGAUAACUACUUGAAACCGUCGCUAAUACCGCAUACACUCAGAUGUGCCCAUAUGGGAUUAGCUGGUUGGUGGGGUAACGGCUCACCAAGUCGACGAUCCCUAGCUGGUCUGAGAGGAUGACCAGCCACACUGGAACUGAGACACGGUCCAGACACCUACGGGAGGCAGCAGUGGGGAAUAUGGCACAAGGGGCGAAAGGCUGAUGCAGCAAUGCCGCGGGUAUGAAGAAGGCCUUCGGGUGGUAAAGUACUUUCAGCGGGGAGGCGUUACCCGAAGAAGAAGCACCGGCUAACUCCGUGCCAGCAGCCGCGGUAAUUC
rnacentral:rRNA from 1 species